rnacentral:SRP_RNA from 1 species
GUUGGGCGUUGUGACGGGCACCUGUAGUCCUAGCUACUUGGGAGGCUGAGGCAAGAGAAUCACUAGCCCAAGAGUUUGAGGUUGCUGUGAGCUGUGACACCAUAGCACUCUACCGAGGGUGACAUAGUAAGGCUCUGUCUCAAAAAAAGAGGAGUAUUCUUUGUCUUUUCUUUCUUUUUUCUUUUUGUUUUGUUUUGUUUUUGAGACAGUCUUACUAUGUUGCUCUGGGUAGAGUGUCAUGAUGUCACAGUUCACAGCAACCUCGAACUCUUGGGCUUAAGUGAUUCUCUUGCCUCAG